CAAUUAUGGAGGCCAGAGAGAGAGGGGGUGCGGCAUAGAGAGAGAAGAGAUAAAUGUGUAAUUGUGAGAUAGACGGUUCUAUGCUCACAUAAUUUUCUGCUUGGUUCUUCAGAUACCUUCCGUGCAACAUUUGAUGUGGUAUGGUUUUCCAAUUUCCCCUUUGCAACAAUUUCUUUUUGGUUUUUGGAGUAUGUAUGAUUUAUUUUUAAUUAGAGAAGAAAAAUUAAUAAAACACAAGAAGCAAUUGGAAACAUGGCUGCAAGUGAUAAGCCAGAGUCUUUUUUUUCAAUUAACUAUAUUACUUUUGUAGUAUAUGCAUGCGCAGGAAAAAUCCAAAUCGUACUACAAGAUCUUAGGGCUCUGUAUUUUGUGUCAAACCAAUGCAUUGAGAGAAUAUGAACUAUUGCGUCUGGUUUGGAUAUGUGUCUAUGGUGGUACCCCUAUUUCAAGGCAACUGAGAGCGCUUGACUAUGGUAACCCAAUGGCUUUCUUUGUUGUUUUUCCUUAAGAGGUUAUCGAUUCCUUACUUUUUUAACUGAGUUUUUGACUAUCAAUAUUUUGCAUUUCUGAGCUUAAAGGCACAAAAUGAUUAUUUGUUAUUGGGUAGAUGGGUUGCUAAAGGCAAGCAAGACACAUAAAAAUGACCAUUGGGAACGAAAAGUCGCUUCUUCGGUGUAUUUAUACUUUUUUUAGUUGUAUCAUGCGAAAUUAAGUAUCGAUUUGCUAUGUGUAUUUUGUUGAAGUUAUGUUUUGAUGAGCUUGGAUUCCUGAAACGUUUGAUACUAAAAUGACAUGAAUAAGCAUAAUGAAUGGUUUGAAAGAUGCUAUUAAUGGUUUUGCGAGUAUAUCGUUAGUCGUUUGGUUGUAUGAUUUGUUUUUGUUUUUUCUUUCAAAGCACUUUGCUCUUAAUUUUUUGGGGCUGCAGCUUUCGAAGCCCUUUAUGCUCAAGGUAAACAAUUUUGGAUUUCAGCCUUCCAACAAUUUUUUUAUUUAUUUGAAUAUUGUGAAAGUUGUGUUUUAUAUGCUAUGAAAGUUGAAUCUGUGAAUUUUUUUUUUUUUAAUUCAUGGUAUAUAUUCUAUUUCAUAGUUUUGGAUGAUGUUGGAUUGAAAAGCUUUUCUAUAGAACUUAUAGUUAUUUAAAGUGUUUUAUCCAUUCUUACAUUUACUCUCAUAAAUUAUAGCUGAUUUGUUAAUCUCUUACCAAAAUACGCAAAUUAUUUUGUAAAUUUGUUCUUAUUCUAGCAGGAACAACAAAUGCAGAAGGGGAACACAUAUAUAAUCAGUGUUAUUCUAGCCAAAACCUUUAUUCUCACAACAUUGGGUACGAUUGUUAUAAGUUUCAAUUCAUUGUACCUAAAUUGAAACAAUUUACUAUUAGCACAAACUUUUUUAUAUUUUAAACAUGAUAUUUCAUGCAUUUUCUAAUCCUGCAGCAACGUGCGGGUAGUACUUUCUAAUAUCUUCUAUACAUCAAAUACAUUUCCUUGGCUCCA